CGCCGCGUGAGUGAUGGAAGACUUCGGGUUGUAAGCUCUGUCGGAGGGGAAGAACACAAUGACGGUACCCUCCAAGAAAGCCCCGGCUAACUACGUGC
rnacentral:rRNA from 1 species